rnacentral:rRNA from 1 species
UACGUAGGGGUCCGAGCGUUGUCCGGAGUUACUGGGCGUAAAGGGCGCGUAGGUGGCCCGGUCAGUCUUUGGUGAAAGCGCGGGGCUCAACCCUGCGUCGGCCCAGGGAUACUGCCGCGGCUCGAGCACUGUAGAGGCAGGCGGAAUUCCGGGUGUAGCGGUGGAAUGGCGUAGAGAUCCGGAAGAACACCGGUGGCGAAGGCGGCCUGA